rfam:Habropoda laboriosa contig10876, whole genome shotgun sequence.
UGGCGUAGCGCGCAAAGCCUCGGCUUGCUAAGCCGAAGGUCCCGGGUUCGAUUCCCGG